rnacentral:lncRNA from 1 species
AUAACAGUCUGUCAAGAGAGUCAGCAAAUGUAGAGACCCAAGGUCAAUGCUGACAGAAGGGAUUGCAAGGAGUCGGGCCGAUUAGAAGCAACUAUCCUAGAACGAGACUUUGGUAGGAAGAGGAUGGACCAGGAGACCUUAGAGGCUUCAGAUCCCUCCAACUGGUGGACCCUGUCCAUCUCCAGCCCUUCCAUCCCAAUUUUUUCAGAGAACCUCCAAGAUGCCCAUCCUGGUGCCAGGAGAUAGAAUAACUGGAGAGGGGAAACACUGUACAUCCCUGAAGAAUGGAUGAAGUUGUUCAUUCAUUUGUUCACUCAAUGAAUUUCUAUCGACCACCUUCUUUGCAUGCAACAGGACUGGGAAAAGAAAGCUGAAUAAAAACCUUGACGCUACCUUGAGAAGUUUGUUG